CGGCGAUGAUGAUGAUUCG
rnacentral:sRNA from 1 species